GUAGAAACACUGUUUCUCGUACAACCACCGAAGUUAAGCAACGUUAAGUCUAAACAGUACUUAGAUGGGUGACCGCUUUGGAAUGCCAGGUGCUGUU